CCCCCGAAUAUCCAUUGAAAAUAGCCCCCCAAAACAUUUGUCUCAUUUUCCCCCAAAAUAGCUCCGUCGUCCAUUGAUAGGGUCCGGUUGAACUCUACUCCGGCCAUUGCUACUCCUGUUCAGCUUUUUCUUCGGUGAAUUCAAACUCCUACAGCUCCCAGAUAAUUAUUUUUAAAUCUGUUUUCAUGGGAAACGGUGUAGGAAAGCUUAGUGUUUGUUUCACUAGCGCCGCCGUCGUGGAAAGUCAUCGCUGGAAGGAUUUCCAGUGAUGAUAUCCAACCUACUUGAAGAUUUGCGUCCCUAUCUAUCAACCUUCUUUCAAGCGGUUGAUAGAGCUUUCCGUGCACUUUGCUAAAGCGCAAAAUUUUGUUAGUUUACGGUGCUCCUUCUAUCUUUUUCCAAUGUUCCAUCGGUGUAUUUCGGUACUAGUCUAAGUUGUUGCAGUUCCAUGUUUCAUAGUGGAAAAUAUGAGCAGUCAGUACAAAAACAAUAAAUUGUUCGAAAGAGAUACCUUUUUACAGUUGAUAGACAGAAAAAUAAGAUUGUUAUUUAGUUUAAGAUUUUAGGGAUUUGUGGAGAAGACCAGCAAAAUGAAAGAGAAAACUUAGGACACUCUCACUCAUAAAGGUUGUAGGUUGUAGGAAACAGAUAUUAAAAAAUAUUCUUGAAGUUUUCGAGGAAUAUAACGAGAGGUUUCUUAGAAGACUCAGAUACAGGACUGAUCGAACAGGGUUGGAAUUGAGAUUCCGAGAGUUGAAGUUUGAUUUGAGCAUCUUUGUAUUGAUGGAGAUGCAUAUGUUGGAUCUAGAGCAUUGCCUACUCUCUAGAAUGCUUCCGUCAAUUUUGUAGAGGAUGACAUUACUUCUGGGGCCUCCUGGUUCUGGAAAAGCAAAAUUGCUAAAGGCACUUGCUGGGGUGCUAGACAAGGACCUAAGAGUGAACGGAAGAAUCAGUUACUGUGGUCGUGAACUGUCAGAUUUCAUCCCACAAAGGACAUGUGCUUAUAUUAGUCAGCAUGGCAUUCAUCAUGGAGAGAUGACUAUCAGAGAGACGUUGGAUUUUGCAGGACGUUGUUGAGGAGUUGGAACAAGGUAUGAUCUCCUUACUGAAUUGUCAAGGCGGUAAAAAGAUGCAGGAAUCAAACCCGAUCCUGAAAUCGAUGCCUUUAUGAAAGCUACAGCUGUUGCGGGCCAAGAAUCUAGUCUUGUCACAAACUAUGUUCUUAAGGUUAGACUCUUGGUUGAACUCGUAAUCAUAUUUGGGUUACUGUGACAUAGUUAGGGCUCGACGGUGAUGUUUAAAUCUUGGCAAGUGGUGGUGAAUACUUACCUACUCACUUCCCGGCUAGCUAGGUGAACUCUGUGAAAUGAUUUCUACAGGACGAGUUUCUGUUCCUGUGCAGGAGAAGUCGUACUAUGCAUUGGCCGCAUUUUGUGAGAACAUGGGCGAAGAAAUUCUUCCUUUCCUGAAUCCUUUGAUGGGAAAAUUACUUGGUGCUCUCCAAAGUAGCCCUCGUAAAUUGCAGGAAACUUGCAUGUAGUUCAAUAUCAUUUCUUGCAAUUCUUUUUCUUCCAUUGGUGAUGGGCAUCGUCUUGAACUAUAUGAUGUUCUUGUGCACCAUUGUUAACUCGGCUUUAACUACCACAAUUGUCAGAGUCCUCAAGUGAGUCGGAUCUACGACACUGGGAUUUGCCAUGUUGGGAGGAGUAGAAGUACAUGCUUUGAAUGUCACUGGUUUGGUGAUAAACACAACUGGUGAUGUGUGUGGUAUUCAGUAGCCAAAUAUAAACAGAAGAAGAGCAAAUUGCCCAAGAUAAUGUCUGAUAUCGAAGAUUCCAUAGAGUUCAAUAUUUAUACUUCAAAUAUGCUAGUACCUUGAACAUGUACUUGUGAAUCAAUUUGAUAGAACCUUGAUCAAUUUGGGCAAUUUGAUAGUACCUUGAACAUGUACUUGUGAUGUUAUAUGUAAACAUUAAAGAUGUUGUAUUACUAUCUUUUGUCUUGUCCAUC